rnacentral:lncRNA from 1 species
GCACCGAUAAAAUAUUAUUUUCCAAACUGUGUACAGAACAUUCUCGGAAUGGGUUGAGAAUUGACGUGUGGUCUUUUUUUGUAGUUAGACCACCUAAAACUUUUGUCGCAUUCAGAGUUCGUUUGAUACCCGAACCAUUAAAUAUAUAACGGCACUAAACUCGGUUUAAUUAUCGGAGGUUUUAUGGGUUUAAAAACAAUGUCACAGACUGCCAUCUUCCCUCUUAUCUCAGCCCAAGACCCCCUACACAUCCCACUAGCCCAGCCUAGCCUACCCCUCCGUUUUGGAUCGACCGGUCGAGAUUUGACGGUCCGAAAUCAGGAAAAAUAGCUAACCCUGCCAACCGUAGCUCCUCCCCAUCGACCCUGCCUUGCCGGCGCCGCCGCCAACUAAAGCGCCAUCGCCGUACCUGACUGUCCCUCGCUAGAGCCGCCUCGUUGUUUCCCAGCUCCUCACAGGCGAUGCCAAGCCGCUGCGCCAUGCCGCGCCCCCGCAUCCCGCUGCCUCACUAAGCGGCCGCUGACCGCCUCCCGACUUCCACCGACCGGAUCUGGGUUCCGACGCCCAUCACAGCCACUGUCCCUUUCCUAGCGCCAAAUCCAUCCGCAGGCAACCCAGCCAUGACCGCAGUUCCAGCGCGGGCUCCUGCAUCAUUGGGAGGACGGUGCCUCGACCUACCCCUCGUCGUUGUCCAGUGCAAGGUGGGUUAUGCGAGUGCCUCGCCCCAUGGGCCGCUGACCGCAUGAGGCCCAACGCCAAGGCUUGCCUCACCCGCAGCCAGGUCGUGGCCCAUCCACUGCCUCCUCUAGCCGGCCCAACCUCGUCACCCAACUGCUCGCCCCGUGGUCCUCCUUGCCGACUUGGG